UAUUUCACACUGGUCAACUCCAAUGGUGUCUGCUUACACCUCCUGCUACACUCAACGCUGCGUUAGAGCAAGGCCAAGAGCAAGCCUCCUGCAGUAGUGAUGCUAGCAUUACUACUCUCAUUAGCACUGACAUUAAUGGGGCUUGCUGAUGAGUGGGUGUGACCAUCGCAAGGCUAUCAGCUGUAAAUCACACAGAGCCAUCUCUAAUGGACACCAAGCAUGUUAUAUUCAACCAGUCUUGGUUCUCUCUGCAGACAGAUAUUGUCUUAAAUGUGUCUAUGUGCAUGUGUGUUUCAGAGCUGAUGGAUCUGUGUGAUGACCACGAGGCUCUGAAGCUUCUCUUUCUGUCCCAGCAGCCUCAUGAGUGUGCCAGCUGACUACUUCCUCACAUUUUGCACUGUUAAUCAUGAGUUCUAUGAAAGUAGAACCACUAGAGUGGACAAGGCCUCUAUGAAACUAUUUCUAAUUGUCAAAAAAUGAGUUUCAAUCUAUACAUAGCUCUUCUUUGUUUUUAAGUAUUUGUUUAUCUUAUCAGGAAACCCAAAGGAUGGUGCCUAUGUUUCCAUCACCCCCUUAGUGGCCAACCCAGACCCUGCACUUCUGAAGAGCCUGUAGACUCAGACUGACAGCCUGGAGAGGGCUCGUCUCAGACAGCUCUACUCUCAGGAGGACCGCAGAGCCAAGGAGGCGCCCUCUCAGGCCCAACCCACACAGACUGUGCUCCAUCAAUUACUUAGGCAUAUAGAAGUUGAAAAGAUAUAUAUACAGUACCAGUCAAAAAUUUGUACACACCUAUUCAUUCAGGGGUUUUUCUUUAUUUUUUUACCCAUUUUCUACAUUGUAGAAUAAUAGUGAAGACAUCAUAACUAUGAAAUAACACAUGGAAUCAUGUAGUAACCAAAAAAGUGUUAAACAAAUCAAAAUAUAUAUUAGAUUCUUCAAAGUAGCCACCCUUUGCCUUGAUGACAGCUUUGCACACCCUUGGCAUUCUCUCAACCAGCUUCACCUGGAAUGCUUUUCCAACGGUCUUGAAAGAGUUCCCACAUAUGCUGAGCACUUGUUGGCUGCUUUUCCUUCACUCUGUGGUCCAACUCAUCCGAAUCCAUCUCAAUUGGGUUGAGGUUGGGUGAUUGUGGAGGCCAGGUCAUCUGAUGCAGCCCUCCAUCACUCUCCUUGGUCAAAUAGCCCUUACACAGCCUGGAGGUGUUGGGUCAUUGUCCUGUUGAAAAACAACUGAUAGUUCCACUAAGCGCAAAGCACAUGGGAUGGCUUAUCACUGAAGAAUGCUGUGGUAGCCAUGCUGGUUAAAUGUGCCUUGAAUUCUAAAUAAAUCACAGACGGUUUCACUAGCAAAACACCCCCACACCAUCACACCUCCUCCAUACUUCACAGUGGGAUCCACACAUGUAGAGAUAAUCCGUUCACAUACUCUGCGUCUCACAAAGACACAGCGGUUGGAACCAAAAAUCUCAAAUUUGGACUCAUCAGACCAAAGGAGAGAUUUCCACUCGUCUAAUGUCCAUAGCUUGUGUUUCUUGGCCCAAGCACGUCUCUGGUGUCCUUUAGUAGUGGUUUCUUUGCAGCAAUUCAACCAUGAAGUCCUGAUUCACGCAGUCUCCUCUGAACAAUUGAUGUUGAAAUGUGUCUUUUACUUGAACUCUGUGAAGCAUUUAUUUGGGCUACAUUUUCUGAGGCUGGUAACUCGAAUUAACUUAUCCUCUGCAGCAGAGGUAACUCUGUGUCUUCCUUUGCUGUGGUGGUCCUCAUGAGAGCCAGUUUCAUCAUAGAGCUUGGAUGGUUUAUGACUGCACUUGAAGAAAGUUUCAAAGUUCUUGAAAUUUUCCAGAUUGACCGACCUUCAUGUCUUAAAGUAAUGAUGGACUGUCGUUUCUCUUUGCUCUUUUGAGCUUUUCUUGCCAUAAUAUGGACUUGGUCUUUUACCAAAUAGGGCUAUCUUCUGUAUACCACCCCUACCUUGUCACAACACAACUGAUUGGCUCAAACACAUUAAGAAGGAAAGAAAUUCCACAAAUUAACUUUUAACAAGGCACACCUGUUAAUUGAAAUGCAUUCCAAAGGAAUACCUUUUGAAGCUGGUUGAGAGAAUGCCAAGAGUGCACAGCUGACAUCAAGGCAAAGGGUGGCUACUUUGAAGAAUCUCAAAUCUAAAAUAUAUUUUGAUUAGUUUAACACUUUUUUGGUUACUGCAUGAUUGUGUAUGUGUUAUUUCAUAGUUGUGAGGUAUUUACUAUUAUUCUACAAUGUAGAAAUAGUAAAAUUAAAGAAAAACCCUUGAAUGAGUAGAUGUGUCCAAACUUUUGACUGGUACUGUAAGUCUUAGAAGUGUUUUUUAUUUAUUUUUGUGCCCAACUUUUGUGCUGUGUCCCAAAGGCUAAGAGCCUGGGCCGUGCGGUACAUAUUGACGCCCCUGACGACGAACGCUCCAAUCGCCGAACUUGAGGCAGGAAGAGCAGGAACUGAGAGAACCUGUCAAUCUUACAAUCAUGUAUGUACAAAUGAAGGUGGAAAUAUGAUCUAGUGGACCCUGAGUCAUCAAAGUCUAAGCUAGCCAAUAGUCAUCAGUGUUGAAUAAUACAGUCGUCGUGAACCCUUCGCGGAACUCUUAAUCAAAGCAACAAUCCUGGGAUUCUUGUGUGACCACAAUCAUACCAAGCCAGACCCUGUUAUACACUGGAUUGUGCAGGGUGCAUUUUUGGGUUUGAUCCUCUUUGUAUAUCCCCAUUCAGACCAAAGGUAAGUCCUGGGUCUGUAUUGCAUUGUGGAAAAUGCAAUGAUCAUUAUCAAUGAUUCACAGUGAACAAAGUUGUUGUACCAAAUAUGACCAGAGGGGAGAGAUAAGAUUCAACAGGUCCAGUGAAGUGAAUAUUUAUUCACAUUUUCAGUGGAAUAACUUGCUCGUCUUUACAGACUUGUCUGGAUAAAACAAUGUUUUUGAUCUGUAA